AGAGUUUGAUCAUGGCUCAGAUUGAACGCUGGCGGCAUGCUUAACACAUGCAAGUCUCACGGGCAGCAAUGUCAGUGGCGGACGGGUGAGUAACGCGUAGGAAUCUGUCCUUAGGUGGGGGAUAACUGUGGGAAACUACAGCUAAUACCGCAUGAUACCUGUGGGUCAAAGGCGUGAGUCGCCUAGGGAGGAGCCUGCGUACGAUUAGCUAGUUGGUGGGGUAACGGCCUACCAAGGCGACGAUCGUUAGCUGGUCUGAGAGGAUGAUCAGCCACAUUGGGACUGAGACACGGCCCAAACUCCUACGGGAGGCAGCAGUGGGGAAUAUUGGACAAUGGGCGCAAGCCUGAUCCAGCAAUGCCGCGUGUGUGAAGAAGGUCUUCGGAUUGUAAAGCACUUUCGACGGGGACGAUGAUGACGGUACCCGUAGAAGAAGCCCCGGCUAACUUCGUGCCAGCAGCCGCGGUAAUACGAAGGGGGCUAGCGUUGCUCGGAAUGACUGGGCGUAAAGGGCGCGUAGGCGGUUCAGACAGUCAGAUGUGAAAUUCCCGGGCUUAACCUGGGGGCUGCAUUUGAUACGUCUGGGCUUGAGUGAGGAAGAGGGUUGUGGAAUUCCCAGUGUAGAGGUGAAAUUCGUAGAUAUUGGGAAGAACACCGGUGGCGAAGGCGGCAACCUGGUCCUUUACUGACGCUGAGGCGCGAAAGCGUGGGGAGCAAACAGGAUUAGAUACCCUAGUAGUCC
rnacentral:rRNA from 1 species